GGGCGAAUAGCUCAGCUGGGAGAGCAUCGCCCUUACAAGGCGAGGGUCACAGGUUCGAACCCUGUUUCGCCCACCA
rnacentral:tRNA from 1 species